ACUCAAAGGAAUUGACGGGGGCCCGCACAAGCGGCGGAGCAUGCGGAUUAAUUCGAUGCGACGCGAAGAACCUUACCUGGGUUUGACAUGCAUGGUGUACCGGCGGAGACGUCGGGUCCCUUCGGGGGUCGUGCACAGGUGGUGCAUGGCUGUCGUCAGCUCGUGUCGUGAGAUGUUGGGUUAAGUCCCGCAACGAGCGCAACCCUUGUCCCAUGUUGCCAGCGAGUCGUGUCGGGGACUCAUGGGAGACUGCCGGGGUCAACUCGGAGGAAGGUGGGGAUGACGUCAAGUCAUCAUGCCCCUUAUGUCCAGGGCUUCACGCAUGCUACAAUGGCCGGUACAGAGGGCGGCGAUGCCGUGAGGCGGAGCGAAUCCCUUCAAAGCCGGUCUCAGUUCGGAUCGGGGUCUGCAACUCGACCCCGUGAAGUCGGAGUCGCUAGUAAUCGCAGAUCAGCAACGCUGCGGUGAAUACGUUCCCGGGCCUUGUACACACCGCCCGU
rnacentral:rRNA from 1 species